rnacentral:rRNA from 1 species
UAAAGAUUCAUCGCUGAUAGAUAGGCAUGCGUUCCAUUAGGCAGUUGGCGGGGUAACGGCCCACCAAACCGACGAUGGAUAGGGGUUCUGAGAGGAAGGUCCCCCACAUUGGUACUGAGACACGGACCAAACUCCUACGGGAGGCAGCAGUGAGGAAUAUUGGUCAAUGGGCGUGAGCCUGAACCAGCCAAGUCGCGUGAGGGAUGAAGGUUCUAUGGAUCGUAAACCUCUUUUAUAAGGGAAUAAAGUGUGGGACGUGUCCUAUUUUGUAUGUACCUUAUGAAUAAGGAUCGGCUAACUCCGUGCCAGCAGCCGCGGUAAUACGGAGGAUCCGAGCGUUAUCCGGAUUUAUUGGGUUUAAAGGGUGCGUAGGCGGCCUUUUAAGUCAGCGGUGAAAGUCUGUGGCUCAACCAUAGAAUUGCCGUUGAAACUGGGGGGCUUGAGUAUGUUUGAGGCAGGCGGAAUGCGUGGUGUAGCGGUGAAAUGCUUAGAUAUCACGCAGAACCCCGAUUGCGAAGGCAGCCUGCCAAGCCAUGACUGACGCUGAUGCACGAAAGCGUGGGGAUCAAACAGGAUUAGAUACCCUGGUAGUCCACGCAGUAAACGAUGAUCACUAGCUGUUUGCGAUACAGUGUAA